UACUCUUUGGUCCUGACCUGUUCUAGAAUAUUCUCUGACAUUUUGGCGCCUUACAGUGUGUAGCCAACAGUGGAGCCACAACCAAAGUGCCUUGUUCAAAGCCCUUAGGUUGAGCCCUGUGGCAUUUAACAUCUGAAAUCUCCCUUUAGAUUCUGUCUCUUCUGGUUUGUUAUUUAAUUAGUACUGGAGCCAUUUAAAUUAUGGUUUCAAUGCAACUACACAGGUACCAUCAUUUACCCUUCCAAGAAGCCUGAAUUUCUGAAAUGAUGAAGAGAUUCUGCUGUAUUCCACAUUCAUCACAUCACUGCUUACUCCAGGCUGAUUAGUGGUGAGAAUCCAGAUGAUGGUGUAACAGAAGACAGAGGCAAUGGGAAGCAAGCUCUAACUGACCAAGACAAAGCAAAGCAGUCUCAAACCUGCUGUUUUCAGAGUUUCUCACAAAAUGAAGUAACUCAAACUGAAGAUAGUCACUCCUAAAUUUCAAGAUAUGGGUGUGCUUCUCAAGAUAUGAAUAAAAGUCAUUGUAAAGUCA
rnacentral:lncRNA from 1 species